rnacentral:rRNA from 1 species
CAGUCGCCGCGGUAAUACGAAGGGUGCAAGCGUUACUCGGAAUUACUGGGCGUAAAGCGUGCGUAGGUGGUGGUUUAAGUCCGUUGUGAAAGCCCUGGGCUCAACCUGGGAAUUGCAGUGGAUACUGGGUCACUAGAGUGUGGUAGAGGAUAGUGGAAUUUCUGGUGUAGCAGUGAAAUGCGUAGAGAUCGGAAGGAACAUCUGUGGCGAAGGCGACUAUCUGGGCCAACACUGACACUGAGGCACGAAAGCGUGGGGAGCAAACAGGAUUAGAUACCCGGGUAGUCCCUGUCUCUUAUAC